rnacentral:rRNA from 1 species
CUUGGUCAUUUAGAGGAAGUAAAAGUCGUAACAAGGUUUCCGUAGGUGAACCUGCGGAAGGAUCAUUAUCCAUCUCAACCAGGAGUGGUGGCGGCCAGGCAUUGUGUCCUCGGUUCAGCCCCGCUUUCCUGCAUCCUUUUUUUACGAGCACCUUUCGUUCUCCUUCGGCGGGGCAACCUGCCGCUGGAACUUAACAAAACCUUUUUUUGCAUCUAGCAUUACCUGUUCUGAUACAAACAAUCGUUACAACUUUCAACAAUGGAUCUCUUGGCUCUGGCAUCGAUGAAGAACGCAGCGAAAUGCGAUAAGUAGUGUGAAUUGCAGAAUUCAGUGAAUCAUCGAAUCUUUGAACGCACAUUGCGCCCCUUGGUAUUCCAUGGGGCAUGCCUGUUCGAGCGUCAUCUACACCCUCAAGCUCUGCUUGGUGUUGGGCGUCUGUCCCGCCUCUGCGCGCGGACUCGCCCCAAAUUCAUUGGCAGCGGUCUUUGCCUCCUCUCGCGCAGCACAAUUGCGUCUGCGAGGGGGCGUGGCCCGCGUCCACGAAGCAACAUUACCGUCUUUGACCUCGGAUCAGGUAGGGAUACCCGCUGAACUUAAGCAUAUCAAUAAGCGGAGGA